GACGAACGCUGGCGGCGUGCCUAAUACAUGCAAGUCGCACGAAGGCUUCGGCCUUAGUGGCGCACGGGUGAGUAACGCGUGGGAAACUGCCUAUUGGUGGGGAAUAACGACGGGAAAAGGUCGCUACUACCGCAUAAGCCCUUCGGGGGAAAGAUUAAACGCCGAUAGAGGUGUCCGCGUCCGCUUAGUGAGUUGGUGAGGUAAGGGCGCACCAAGGCAACGAUCGGUAGCUGGUCUGAGAAGAUGAUCCGCCACACUGGGACGGACAGACGGCCCAGACACCUACGUGAGGCAGCAGUGGGGAGUAUUGGACAAUGGGCGAAAGCCUGAUCCAGCAAUGCCGCGUUAGUGAUGAAGGCCUUAGGGUUGUAAAGCUCUUUCGGGUGGGACGAUGAUGACGGUACCACCAGAAGAAGCCCCGGCUAACUUCGUGCCAGCAGCCGCAGUAACAC
rnacentral:rRNA from 1 species